rnacentral:rRNA from 1 species
GCCUGAUGCAGCAACGCCGCGUGGGGGAUGACGGCCUUCGGGUUGUAAACCUCUUUUAGUAGGGAAGAAGGGCUUCGGCUUGACGGUACCUGCAGAAAAAGGACCGGCUAACUACGUGCCAGCAGCCGCGGUAAUACGUAGGGUCCGAGCGUUGUCCGGAAUUAUUGGGCGUAAAGAGCUCGUAGGCGGUUUGUCGCGUCUGCUGUGAAAUCCCGAGGCUCAACCUCGGGCCUGCAGUGGGUACGGGCAGACUUGAGUGCGGUAGGGGAGAAUGGAAUUCCUGGUGUAGCGGUGGAAUGCGCAGAUAUCAGGAGGAACACCGAUGGCGAAGGCAGUUCUCUGGGCCGUAACUGACGCUGAGGAGCGAAAGCGUGGGGAGCGAACAGGAUUAGAUACCCUGGUAGUCCACGCCGUAAACGUUGGGCGCUAGAUGUGGGGACCUUUCCACGGUUUCCGUGUCGUAGCUAACGCAUUAAGCGCCCCGCCUGGGGAGUACGGCCGCAAGGCUAAAACUCAAAGGAAUUGACGGGGGCCCGCACAAGCGGCGGAGCAUGCGGAUUAAUUCGAUGCAACGCGAAGAACCUUACCAAGGCUUGACAUAACCGAGAACGCCGCAGAAAUGUGGAACUCUUUGGACA